AAGGAAUAAAAGCCCUUUUACCAUCUGUCUCCUGGAAAAAAUGUUAUCUACUGGUGUCGCAUCUUUGCCACUACAAUUUGGGAGCACUCCACUCCCAAACCAGAACCCAUCACCUUCAUUCUUCUACCCAUCUCAAAAGCUCCAUGAAAAAUCCCCAAUUAAUGUACAUUAUAAUUUUCCUAAUAAAAUUAAUCUCUCAAAAUUACUCAUAUUUAAUGUAAAUUGCUCUUCCAGCAGCCAAGGGUUGGGUUCAUCACCUGAUCAAAAUAUUUCUCCGGAAGGACAAAAACAGGUUUCUCUCUAUCCUUAGCUGCUAGAUUUGUUAUCAAUGAUUCUUAUUGUUAAUUUUUAUUUCAGGAGCAAAAAAAUGUGGGAUUUUAAGAGAAAUGGAAGGUAAACCCCCCUUCUGCAAUACUCUCCCACACACAAAGAAAGGAAAAACAUGGGAAAAAAAAUUCAACUAAAAUACCAACUUUAGUUAAUCUUCUUUCAUUAGUCCUAAUUAGGCGGGUUCAAUGGACCGGGUUUAAGUAAAAACGGGCCGGGCCGAACCGAAUAAGGAUCCUUUAAAAUUAAUAUGGGAUUUAAAAGGGCCGGGCUUUCAAAGCUCAGUCCGGCCCAACCCAGUCCAUUUUUACAAAAAAAAUUUAUUUUAAUCUCCAAUUAUCAAUUUAUAAUAAUUAAAUUACCAUUUAUAAUAAGUAGAUAGAAAAAAUAUUAAUAAUUUCAUUAACAUUGUCAUUUAUAAUAUCCGUUAUUGAGCCCUUUUAUAGCCUGUUUUAUUUUAAUUAUAAUAUAGCCCAUUUUCAGUCCAGCUCUUACAAAGCCCUUCCAGAAACGGGCCGGAUAAGAGCUCAAAAUGGGGCCCAGCCUAUUGAUUUCAGAGCUUUGACUAUUGCUUAAAAAUUUGUUUGAGUUGGUUUCAUUAUAUCAGAAGCCAACCUGACGAAACGUCACGGGAAGUGUAAUAUUUAGGGCCACAUACGAAGAAGGUGUUGGUCUCUUGACAAGUCCCUACUAUUAUGAGGAUACAAUUGCAGAAUAUUCGAUUAGUAGUAGAGUUUAUCCAAAGUGAAACUUCUAUUAAUCUAUUAAUCAACAAAAAAAUUGGGAUAAUUACUGUAAAAAGAUUCCCAGAGAUAAAAAUUAGUACUUUUGAAGUUUGGAUACCCAUAAGCAAAUUUUUGUGAUAAAGAUUUGAUCUUAAUGUACAUUAUACAUACUUAUAUUUGGAAAUGGGAUACGCAAAUUCAACAAAGAUGAGUGCUUAACUGGCAAAGUUAGGACUGGCAGCUGUGCUUGCUUAUGGGUUGUUUGAUGGAGUCACUUACAACACUUUCUUUGUAAUGUCAUUCUUUGGAUAUGAGAAGAGCACUGGCAAGAAUCCUGCAGCUAAUUUCAAAGCACUUAUUGGGUAUAGACCUCAAUAAGCUCUCACAUUGGUGGUUCUCGGCCCAUUAAGAUGUUCAACCGCCUAGUGCCUCCAGAAAACAAGGGCCUCAUAUAUUAAAAAAUUCCCUGUAGUUCACUUCAUCAGUUAAAUGUAGCUCAGUUGGUAGCAUGUUUCCUGUGAUAUUUUUGGACAAGGGUUUGAAACUUACUAAUGUUAAAUUUUAGUUCUAUUAUACCUAUUUGAUAAUAAGAACUACUUUUUGUUUA